rnacentral:lncRNA from 1 species
AAUGGGGUUGGACAUUAAAAUUUAGUUCAAAAAAAUAAGAAAUGUCAUGGACAAAUGGAGGAUAAAGGCCUCCUUCGACAUAGGUCUCUCUCGGCGGCGGGAAGCAACAAAUCCUCCUCAAGUUCACCAGCCUAGUGCUACUUCUCGUUGCACCUUACAGUCUUGUUCCUGCAUCUACAGCCUAGGACUCAAGCUCGACGACACCAAGACGCCAACUGACUGAACUCUAGCAGAAACUCAAAAAUAGCACGAACCUCCAACAUGGAUGAGUUGCGAGCUGUGCCAAUCAAUCCUACCACUACCAUGGAUUUCAGUGAGCACAAGAUGCAGAAAAAGGAUCGUUCAGGAGCUCGUUCUUCCCGAACGACUCUGCAAGGAACCAGUUAAGC